CGAUUGCGAGAGGUAACUUAAAAUUUAGGAAACAAGUUUGUUCUCGUAUGAUAAUAAAGUAUUUUCUCAAAUUUUAGACUUUUGUUGGGACAUAAUUCCAAUAAUAUCUAGUUAAUAGCCAUUAAAUUCUAUGUUUAAAAAAAUAUUUGGUAUCUCUUACUCUUGUUAUUUAGGUGUUGUAAAUUUCUUGAUUCUUCUUUUUGGUUGGCUGGUAAAAUUUGUACUCCUUAUGAAGGGUUUUUGCAAGUUAAAGGCUUCUGCAGACGGAUCUCUUCAAAAGGAUAGUAGCUUCUUUCAAAACUACAGAAUUUGAUGUUAGUCUUGGUGCACGAAAACAGAAAUGAAGAGAGAAGAAGACUUCUCAGAAGAUAUAUAAUUUCGAUAUGAAUUCAGAAACCCAGGGGAAUGAGGAUUGAAAGCUAUAGAAAACAUGGAUGUGGAUUCCAAAUGAUGGGCUUUCUUUGAAAAAUCGCACAUACUUUUUUGUUUUGUUUUUUUUUUUUUCCUUUUUCUUUACCCUGAUUAUUCUGAAUAGUGUAGAAAUCUGAAAUUUGCUCUUUGAUUUAUUCUUGGGAGGUGGAAAUUGUGAGCACGGUAUGGGUGUUAUAGUGAUCUAGUUAGUGAAAUUUUGCAACAUAUGCUCUCA